rnacentral:rRNA from 1 species
AUACGUAGGGUGCAAGCGUUAAUCGGAAUUACUGGGCGUAAAGCGUGCGCAGGCGGUUUUGUAAGACAGAGGUGAAAUCCCCGGGCUCAACCUUGGAACUGCCUUUGUGACUGCAAGGCUAGAGUACGGCAGAGGGGGAUGGAAUUCCGCGUGUAGCAGUGAAAGGCGUAGAUAUGCGGAGGAACACCGAUGGCGAAGGCGAUCCCCUGGGCCUGUACUGACGCUCAGGCACGAAAGCGUGGGGAGCAAACAGGAUUAGAUACCCUGGUAGUCCACGCCCUAAACGAUGUCAUCUGGUUGUUGGGUCUUCAUUGACUCAGUAACGAAGCUAACGCGUGAAGUUGACCGCCUGGGGAGUACGGCCGCAAGGUUGAAACUCAAAUGAAUGGACGGGG